GCCUGAGGCGCCCACCACACUCGGAAUAAAAUCUCAGCCUCUACCUCACGACCUGACACGGAAAGGCCCUUUAUCAUCCUGCCCCUGACCUAGUAUUUCACCACUUCCUGACCUGUGGCCCACCCUCCUGGGCUUGUCCUCCCCCCACCCCCACUUGCCAGGCCGCCCCAGCAGGGGUGAGGCGGGGCCUGUGGGAACCUGAGCCCAUUGGGCUCUUCCCCGGGCUGCCCAUUCCCACAGAGCUGAGCACACAGCAGGUGCGGGCUGGCCUCUGGUCAAGGGAGGGCCCGGAACACAGCUGCCUAAGUUUCCCAAGUGGCCGCCUCCCGCCCUGACCCCGUGGCUGUCUGUCUGUCUGUCUCUGCAGAGAAGCACUUGCUGCGUCGCUCCCGCCCCGGGGACGUCCUGGCCAAGAACCCAGUGGUGCGCUCCAAGAGCUACAACACCCCGCUGCUGAACCCCGUGGCGGAGCACGAGGCCGAGGCCGCGGCGGCCGGUGGCUCCGGCGUCCGCAGGCACUCCGUCUCCGAGAUGACGUCCUGCCUCGAGCCCCAGGGCUUCUCCGACACGCCAGGCCAGGGCCCCACCGUGGCCUUCAGACCCUCUCCGGUCCCCCCGACGGGGCCCUGCCCCAGCAGACUGCACCCGCCCGCCCAGCCCCCGGAGCCCUGCCCAGACCCGGUCCGCGGCUCCCCGUCCUCCUCCAGCCCGGAGAACCUGGUGGACCAGAUCCUGGAGUCCGUGGACUCGGAUUCCGAAGGGAUCUUCAUUGACUUUGGCCGGGGUCGUGGCUCCGGCACGUCUGAGUUUGAGGGGACCGGGGGUCGGCAGAGCAUCGUGUGAGGUCCUCAGUCUUUACCGCCCCCACGUGUGUGUGUGUGUGUGUGUGUGUGUGUGUGUGUGUGUGUGUGUGUGUGUGAGCGUGAGCGCCCGUGUGCAUGCCUGUGGGGUGCGUGCGUGCGUGCAAGAGACUUUUUACUCCGUCCCGUCCAGCUCGCCCUGGGCCCCCCGCCAUUCUGUCAUCCUGAGUCUCUGUUGGAAAGCCCGUCACCGCCCCAGCCCCCAGCCAGGCCUCCAGAAUGACUCCCGGAGCAGCGGGGGCCGGGAGCAGACCCUCCUCCCCCUUCCCCUCACCUCAGGCCACGACGUGACCGACUGAGCGUGCCGGUCCCAGGCCCUGGGAGCAGCCUGUCCUCGCUCUGCCCGGGGCAGCCGCGGGCAGGAAGAGGGUGGAAUAAAACCUGUCUGCCCCCAUCCCGAGCUCCUG
rnacentral:lncRNA from 1 species